AUCUUUGAUCUAAGAAGUCCUCUCGACUGCGAGUCUUGAGGAUUUUCUGGUGGAACAGAGGUAGAGACUCUCUAGGGGUGGAAUCGUGAUCGGACGGAGGGCUCUCCACCUUCUGCUUCCCUUUUCCUGGGAAGACAGGGCGACUUGCCCAAGUGGCCUGCAUAGUCGCCAGAUUCUAGAACUCUGGCGAUGCUCUUUCCAGCCGCACUGAUACCUGCGACUGCUGCUGCAUGGCCUGCACUGCUUUGAUGAGGCCCCUGACCUGCUGAACCAGCAAGUCAAACUGCUCCAUGCCGACUAUCGUCGUUGG
rnacentral:lncRNA from 1 species